rnacentral:rRNA from 1 species
UUUCCGUAGGUGAACCUGCGGAAGGAUCAUUGUCGAAACCUGCAAGGCAGAACGACCCGCGAACAAGUGAAAAACUAUCGCUCGCGGCAGGCCUCGGGGCCGGUCGCCAGAAGUCCAGGGAGAUGGCCGUGGGAAACUAUGGCUCCUGUUUCCUUGGGCACAAACAACGAACCCCGGCGCGAAUUGCGUCAAGGAAACGAAAAAGAGGACGCGCGCUCCCCUCGUCCCGGAAACGGUGUCGCGAGGGGUCUGCGUCGUCGUGAUGUCACAAUAGAUGAAACGACUCUCGGCAACGGAUAUCUCGGCUCUCGCAUCGAUGAAGAACGUAGCGAAAUGCGAUACUUGGUGUGAAUUGCAGAAUCCCGUGAACCAUCGAGUUUUUGAACGCAAGUUGCGCCCGAAGCCGUCAGGCCGAGGGCACGCCUGCCUGGGUGUCACGCAACGUCGCCAAGAAUCAACCCUGCCCCUUAGGCGGGGAAACAUCGAGUGAUGGCGGAUAUUGGCCUCCCGUGCGCUCCCGCUCUCGGUUGGCCCAAAAGACAGUCCCCUGGCGACGGCUGCCACGGCACACGGUGGAUGGCAGCACAGGCUCCUCGAACACCGCCGUGGGCGAGCCUCGUCGAUGGGUAGGCAAGGGCCCCGACGCCUAGCGUCCUCGAAAAGCGACCCCAGGUCAGGCGGGAACACCCGCUGAGUUUAAG